rnacentral:rRNA from 1 species
UACGUAGGGUGCGAGCGUUAAUCGGAAUUACUGGGCGUAAAGCGUGCGCAGGCGGUUUUGUAAGCCAGAUGUGAAAUCCCCGGGCUUAACCUGGGAAUGGCAUUUGGGACUGCAAGGCUUGAGUUUGGCAGAGGGGACUGGAAUUCCUGGUGUAGCAGUGAAAUGCGUAGAGAUCAGGAGGAAUACCGAUGGCGAAGGCAGGUCCCUGGGCUGAAACUGACGCUCAUGCGCGAAAGCGUGGGGAGCAAACAGG